rnacentral:rRNA from 1 species
CCUACGGGAGGCAGCAGUAGGGAAUAUUGCUCAAUGGGGGAAACCCUGAAGCAGCAACGCCGCGUGGAGGAUGAAGGUUUUCGGAUUGUAAACUCCUUUUGUUAGAGAAGAUAAUGACGGUAUCUAACGAAUAAGCACCGGAUAACUCCGUGCUAGCAGCCGCGGUAAUACGGAGGGUGCAAGCGUUACUCGGAAUCACUGGGCGUAAAGAGCGCGUAGGCGGGAUAGCAAGUCAGAUGUGAAAUCCUAUGGCUUAACCAUAGAACUGCAUUUGAAACUGUUAUUCUAGAGUAUGGGAGAGGUAGGUGGAAUUCUUGGUGUAGGGGUAAAAUCCGUAGAGAUCAAGAGGAAUACUCAUUGCGAAGGCGACCUGCUGGAACAUAACUGACGCUGAGGCGCGAAAGCGUGGGGAGCAAACAGGAUUAGAUACCCCAGUAGUC